rnacentral:snRNA from 1 species
CUAGUACAUAUUUGGUGUAGAAAAUCAAAACAUCACAAAUAAGAAAAUUGAAAUCACUUAUGAUCAUAUUAAACAGAGCUAUCUAUUGUUACACCAUUUUAAUAACUCUGACUACAAAUUAAGUCGUGAGCUCUUGUAGAGUGAAAACUCCCACACUCUAUUAUUUUUCUUUUUUCCACACUCUUUUCUUUUCUUUUUUUUUAUUAAGAUUUUAUUUUUUCCUUUUUCUCCCCAAAGCCCCCCCAGUACAUUGUUGUAUAUUCUUCGUUGUGGUUCUUUCUAGUUGUGGCAUAUGGGAUGACGCCCCAGCGUGGCUUGAUGAGCAGUGCCAUGUCCGCGCUCAGGAUUCGAACCAACGAAACACUGGGCCACCUGCAGCGGAGCGCGCGAACUUAACCACUCGGCCACGAGGUCAGCCCCUCCACACUCUUUUCUUUAUCUCCCAAAUUUUCUUAGCUAUUCUUGGCCAUUUUCUCUUUUAUUCAAAUUUUAGAACUAGGUUUUACUAAAACUCUCUUGGGAUUUUUAUUAAGUUUGCAUUAUUUUUAUAGAUUAAUUUGAGUAGAAUUAAAAAUUUUACUAUACUGUUUCCUCUCUUUCAUAAACACAGUAUAUUUCUCCAUUAAUUCAUGUCUAUUUUAAUAUCUCUUUAAAAUAUGGAAUGCUUCAAGAAUUUGCAUGUCAUCUUUGCACAGGGGUCAUACUAAUCUCUGUAUUUUUCCAAUUUUAAUAUACGUGCUGCUGAAGCGAGCACACAGAUAUUUCUUAACUGUUGGAGUCUAUCAGGAGGGAAAGAUAAGAGGUCACAUGUUCUUUACCCUCUUUAUGAGACAGAAACUGAAAAAGACAUUAAUCUGGGCUAAUUGUAUCUGUCAGACAUAAAUGCAUUUAGUUGUGUGCUGACAAUGGCAAAAAUGUUUCUGGAUUUUGCUGUCUUGUCCCAUCUAUUAUCUGAACAAAAGUUCUUUUUCUGUUGAUAGUCGUGACAGAAGAAAUGCAGCAGGACAAAGGGGUUGGAAGGAUGUGAAAAAGAAAAGGAAAGGAAAAGAUGGUCAAACAUGCGUCUUCUGGCUGGAGGCCUGCUGUGACUGGACCAGAUCACCUGGAACCGUGCCUGAUUCAGACUUUUGUCACCAGGACUUCUUCCAGAACUGUGUUCUGCUGGCAGAGAGGACUCACUCAGAUAUCCAAAUAGCCUGGCCCAAUCUGAGCUCGUCAGGCCCUUUGACCACCACGUACUGGCCUGCCAAGCUGCCUCCUGGGGAUGGGCCAGCUUCUGAAGACACGCUCUGUCUCCUCUGUCCAACUAGAUCUUGGCUUCUUCCCCCUUCCCUUGGCUGUGCUGAUAUGGUCCCAGCCCGCCCUGCACCCAAAUGUCUCCUACAAAAGAGGAGGAGGCCAGUAGAGAUCAAGAGAAGCAGGCCUCAGGCCCUUCUCUCUCUUAACAUCUAUGAUUUCAGGACUCCAUGGGCCUGCUUCUGUGUGGAUCCUGAAAUUCCAAACACUGCUCUUGCAGCCCUUUAG